rnacentral:rRNA from 1 species
GAUUCUGGCUCAGGACGAACGCUGGCGGCGUGCUUAACACAUGCAAGUUGAACGGUAUGACAUGGAAGCUUGCUGAAGUGUCAUAUAGUAGCGGACGGGUGAGUAAUGCAUGAGAAGCUGCCAUUGGGAGGGGGACAACAGUUGGAAACGGCUGCUAAUACCCCGUAUGCCGGAGGGUGAAAGGGAGUAAUCCGCCCGAUGAGGUGCUCAUGUCCUAUCAGCUGGUUGGUGGGGUAACGGCCUACCAAGGCGACGACGGGUAGCCGGCCUGAGAGGGUGAACGGCCACACUGGAACUGAGAUACGGUCCAGACUCCUACGGGAGGCAGCAGGUGGGGAAUAUUGGGACCAAGUGGGGGCAACCCUGACCCAGCGACGCCGCGUGGGGGAAGACGGCCUUCGGGUUGUAAACCUCUUUUGUACGGGAAGAAGGAAGUGACGGUACUGUACGAAUAAGUCCCGGCUAACUACGUGCCAGCAGCCGC